rnacentral:rRNA from 1 species
UACGUAGGGCGCAAGCGUUGUCCGGAAUUAUUGGGCGUAAAGAGCUCGUAGGCGGCUUGUCACGUCGGUUGUGAAAGCCCGGGGCUUAACCCCGGGUCUGCAGUCGAUACGGGCAGGCUAGAGUGUGGUAGGGGAGAUCGGAAUUCCUGGUGUGGCGGUGAAAUGCGCAGAUAUCAGGAGGAACACCGGUGGCGAAGGCGGAUCUCUGGGUCAUUACUGACGCUGAGGAGCGAAAGCGUGGGGAGCGAACAGG